CCUACUUUCUUCUUCCUUUCUUCCUUUUUCUCCCUUUUCUCCCUCCUUCCUCCUCCCCUCCUCUUUUUUUCUUCCUUCCUUCUUUUCUUCCCUCCCUUUCCUUUUUUAAUAAUGUCCCGGGAGCGAACAGUUUCCGGGAGUGACGGUACCACCAGAUUAAGCACCGGCUAACUCCUGGCCAGCAGCCGCUGUAAUACGGAGGGUGCGAGCGUUAUUCGGAAUUACUGGGCGUAAAGCGCGUGUAGGCGGUCCUGCAAGUCUGAUGUGAAAGCCCCGGGCUUAACCCGGGAAGUGCAUUGGAAACUGUGGGACUUGAGUACUGGAGAGGAUGGUGGAAUUCCCGGUGUAGAGGUGAAAUUCGUAGAGAUCGGGAGGAAUAUCAGUGGCGAAGGCGCCCAUCUGGACGGUAACUGACGCUGAGACGCGAAAGCGUGGGGAGCAAACA
rnacentral:rRNA from 1 species